GGGUUGUGAGGUUAAGCGACUAAGCGUACACGGUGGAUGCCCUGGCAGUCAGAGGCGAUGAAGGACGUGCUAAUCUGCGAUAAGCGUCGGUAAGGUGAUAUGAACCGUUAUAACCGGCGAUUUCCGAAUGGGGAAACCCAGUGUGUUUCGACACACUAUCAUUAACUGAAUCCAUAGGUUAAUGAGGCGAACCGGGGGAACUGAAACAUCUAAGUACCCCGAGGAAAAGAAAUCAACCGAGAUUCCCCCAGUAGCGGCGAGCGAACGGGGAGCAGCCCAGAGCCUGAAUCAGUAUGUGUGUUAGUGGAAGCGUCUGGAAAGGCGCGCGAUACAGGGUGACAGCCCCGUACACAAAAAUGCACAUAUUGUGAGCUCGAUGAGUAGGGCGGGACACGUGGUAUCCUGUCUGAAUAUGGGGGGACCAUCCUCCAAGGCUAAAUACUCCUGACUGACCGAUAGUGAACCAGUACCGUGAGGGAAAGGCGAAAAGAACCCCGGCGAGGGGAGUGAAAAAGAACCUGAAACCGUGUACGUACAAGCAGUGGGAGCACGCUUAGGCGUGUGACUGCGUACCUUUUGUAUAAUGGGUCAGCGACUUAUAUUCUGUAGCAAGGUUAACCGAAUAGGGGAGCCGAAGGGAAACCGAGUCUUAACUGGGCGUUAAGUUGCAGGGUAUAGACCCGAAACCCGGUGAUCUAGCCAUGGGCAGGUUGAAGGUUGGGUAACACUAACUGGAGGACCGAACCGACUAAUGUUGAAAAAUUAGCGGAUGACUUGUGGCUGGGGGUGAAAGGCCAAUCAAACCGGGAGAUAGCUGGUUCUCCCCGAAAGCUAUUUAGGUAGCGCCUCGUGAAUUCAUCUCCGGGGGUAGAGCACUGUUUCGGCAAGGGGGUCAUCCCGACUUACCAACCCGAUGCAAACUGCGAAUACCGGAGAAUGUUAUCACGGGAGACACACGGCGGGUGCUAACGUCCGUCGUGAAGAGGGAAACAACCCAGACCGCCAGCUAAGGUCCCAAAGUCAUGGUUAAGUGGGAAACGAUGUGGGAAGGCCCAGACAGCCAGGAUGUUGGCUUAGAAGCAGCCAUCAUUUAAAGAAAGCGUAAUAGCUCACUGGUCGAGUCGGCCUGCGCGGAAGAUGUAACGGGGCUAAACCAUGCACCGAAGCUGCGGCAGCGACGCUGAUGCGUUGUUGGGUAGGGGAGCGUUCUGUAAGCCUGCGAAGGUGUGCUGUGAGGCAUGCUGGAGGUAUCAGAAGUGCGAAUGCUGACAUAAGUAACGAUAAAGCGGGUGAAAAGCCCGCUCGCCGGAAGACCAAGGGUUCCUGUCCAACGUUAAUCGGGGCAGGGUGAGUCGACCCCUAAGGCGAGGCCGAAAGGCGUAGUCGAUGGGAAACAGGUUAAUAUUCCUGUACUUGGUGUUACUGCGAAGGGGGGACGGAGAAGGCUAUGUUGGCCGGGCGACGGUUGUCCCGGUUUAAGCGUGUAGGCUGGUUUUCCAGGCAAAUCCGGAAAAUCAAGGCUGAGGCGUGAUGACGAGGCACUACGGUGCUGAAGCAACAAAUGCCCUGCUUCCAGGAAAAGCCUCUAAGCAUCAGGUAACAUCAAAUCGUACCCCAAACCGACACAGGUGGUCAGGUAGAGAAUACCAAGGCGCUUGAGAGAACUCGGGUGAAGGAACUAGGCAAAAUGGUGCCGUAACUUCGGGAGAAGGCACGCUGAUAUGUAGGUGAAGUCCCUCGCGGAUGGAGCUGAAAUCAGUCGAAGAUACCAGCUGGCUGCAACUGUUUAUUAAAAACACAGCACUGUGCAAACACGAAAGUGGACGUAUACGGUGUGACGCCUGCCCGGUGCCGGAAGGUUAAUUGAUGGGGUUAGCCGCAAGGCGAAGCUCUUGAUCGAAGCCCCGGUAAACGGCGGCCGUAACUAUAACGGUCCUAAGGUAGCGAAAUUCCUUGUCGGGUAAGUUCCGACCUGCACGAAUGGCGUAAUGAUGGCCAGGCUGUCUCCACCCGAGACUCAGUGAAAUUGAACUCGCUGUGAAGAUGCAGUGUACCCGCGGCAAGACGGAAAGACCCCGUGAACCUUUACUAUAGCUUGACACUGAACAUUGAGCCUUGAUGUGUAGGAUAGGUGGGAGGCUUUGAAGUGUGGACGCCAGUCUGCAUGGAGCCGACCUUGAAAUACCACCCUUUAAUGUUUGAUGUUCUAACGUUGACCCGUAAUCCGGGUUGCGGACAGUGUCUGGUGGGUAGUUUGACUGGGGCGGUCUCCUCCUAAAGAGUAACGGAGGAGCACGAAGGUUGGCUAAUCCUGGUCGGACAUCAGGAGGUUAGUGCAAUGGCAUAAGCCAGCUUGACUGCGAGCGUGACGGCGCGAGCAGGUGCGAAAGCAGGUCAUAGUGAUCCGGUGGUUCUGAAUGGAAGGGCCAUCGCUCAACGGAUAAAAGGUACUCCGGGGAUAACAGGCUGAUACCGCCCAAGAGUUCAUAUCGACGGCGGUGUUUGGCACCUCGAUGUCGGCUCAUCACAUCCUGGGGCUGAAGUAGGUCCCAAGGGUAUGGCUGUUCGCCAUUUAAAGUGGUACGCGAGCUGGGUUUAGAACGUCGUGAGACAGUUCGGUCCCUAUCUGCCGUGGGCGCUGGAGAACUGAGGGGGGCUGCUCCUAGUACGAGAGGACCGGAGUGGACGCAUCACUGGUGUUCGGGUUGUCAUGCCAAUGGCACUGCCCGGUAGCUAAAUGCGGAAGAGAUAAGUGCUGAAAGCAUCUAAGCACGAAACUUGCCCCGAGAUGAGUUCUCCCUGACUCCUUGAGAGUCCUGAAGGAACGUUGAAGACGACGACGUUGAUAGGCCGGGUGUGUAAGCGCAGCGAUGCGUUGAGCUAACCGGUACUAAUGAACCGUGAGGCUUAACCUUACAACGCCGAAGGUGUUU
rnacentral:rRNA from 1 species